rnacentral:rRNA from 1 species
UUAGUAAUGGGCAUAAUACAUUUAAAUAAUAUUUAGGGUGAAAAUUUUCCAACUUAAGAUUUCGGAUUUGGGGAAAUAUUUUCGUAUAUUAAACAUAACUUAACUUUUAGGUAAAGUUCUGUACAAAAUAUUUAAUUUACCCCACGUUUAUCCCAUNACAACUAAAUAAUAACAAUUAUAUGUCUUACCUGAACNCUUUNGGUCAAAGAAUCAAAUAUUUAGUGACNCUAAAUAAACAUACAUAUAUANAAGUAUUAGAAUGACAACAACCUANGAUAUUUACUAACAGUAUUAAAACAAACAUAAUGUUAAUAUUAGUAUACUAAAGUACAAAAAUUUAUUGUAAGUAACUCGGCAAACAAAGUUCUAUCAACUGUUUACCAAAAACAUAGCUUCAAGAACAAUUAAAUUUGAAGUUAACUCUGCCCAGUGAUAAAAAGAGAUUUUUAUUUAACGGCCGCAGUACUUUGACUGUGCUAAGGUAGCAUAAUAACUUGGCUUAUAANUGAAGUCUGGAAUGAAAGAAGUCUUUGAAUAGAAAGCUGUCUCACAAUAACUACUUAAAACUUAUUAUAUUAGGUGAAAAUACCUAUGAUACAUAUCUAAGACGAGAAGACCCUUGGAAUUUUUAUAAAUUUUUACUUUUCACUUUUCUCCUCUUUGUCCGUUCUUUAUGCUCUAAGUGUGUAUAACCAAAACAUGCGAAGUGACUAAAAAUAUUAGCAUCAUGCAUAAAAGAAAAGAAAAAAAUAAAAACAUAGACGUCGACGUAAAGUAAACCUAUUUUAGUUGGGGCAACUUAGAGUCAUUAAAAAUGUAUACAUGGACAAAUGGCCCAUAUAUCCAAUAUCAAAAAUUAUCCUAAAAUACACUUACAAGAUUUAGGAAAAUAAAAAUAUAACAAUAAUACCAAAUUAAUUUCCC